rnacentral:rRNA from 1 species
AUAUCAAUAAGCGGAGGAAAAGAAACUAACAAGGAUUCCCCUAGUAACGGCGAGUGAAGCGGGAAGAGCUCAAAUUUGAAAUCUGGCAGUCUUCGAUUGUCCGAGUUGUAAUCUAUAGAGGCGUUUUCCGUGCCGGACCGUGUCCAAGUCUCCUGGAAAGGAGUAUCAAAGAGGGUGAUAAUCCCGUACUUAACACGACCACCGGUGCUCUGUGAUACGUCUUCUACGAGUCGAGUUGUUUGGGAAUGCAGCUCAAAAUGGGUGGUGAAUUCCAUCUAAAGCUAAAUAUUGGCGAGAGACCGAUAGCGAACAAGUACCGUGAGGGAAAGAUGAAAAGCACUUUGGAAAGAGAGUUAAACAGUACGUGAAAUUGUUGAAAGGGAAACGAUUGAAGUCAGUCGUGUUCUUUGGAUUCAGCCAGUUCUGCUGGUCUACUUCCUUUGAACGGGUCAACAUCAGUUUUGUCCGGUGGAUAAAGGUAGUAGGAAUGUGACUUCUCCGGAAGUGUUAUAGCCUAUUAUCACAUACACUGGGUGAGACUGAGGACUGCAGCUCGCCUUUAUGGCCGACCUUCGGGUACGUUCGAGCUU